rnacentral:pre_miRNA from 1 species
UCAACCCAUUUAACCUUCUAACCCAUCAAAUUAAAUGAGUUCAUGGGUUGACUCAACUCAUUUGCUUAAAUGAGUUGAGUCAACCCAUGAACUCAUUUAACUCUAAACUCAUUGGUUAAUGAGU